UACAGAGGGGGCAAGCGUUGUUCGGAAUUACUGGGCGUAAAGGGCGCGUAGGCGGCCGCCUAAGUCAGACGUGAAAUCCCUCGGCUUAACCGGGGAACUGCGUCUGAUACUGGGUGGCUUGAAUCCGGGAGAGGGAUGCGGAAUUCCAGGUGUAGCGGUGAAAUGCGUAGAUAUCUGGAGGAACACCGGUGGCGAAGGCGGCAUCCUGGACCGGUAUUGACGCUGAGGCGCGAAAGCCAGGGGAGCAAACGGG
rnacentral:rRNA from 1 species